rnacentral:lncRNA from 10 species
GUCCUCAUCACCCUGCAGGGAUGUGACAGUCUCAUAAGAAGGGGUGUAAAAGUACUUGAAGGAGAAGAAGCUAUGUUGAUGCAAAGUGUUUUUCUUUUUCUUUUUUUUUUUUUUUAAUCCUCUACACCGUCGUGGUGAACACUUUCUUUCACUUGGGGCUGGAGCAGAAAGAUUAGGACUUUCAUCUCUGGAAAGGUGAAACCUUAGAAGAGAAAUGGUAUAUAUAUCCCUGAAGGGCAAAGGGGUGAGAGUUAGGUUGAGUACAUCUUUGAUUGCCAAAUUGAAGCUUCUAGAUCUAGGGACUGCUCCUGGUUGUUUGAAGGCUGCAGUUUUAGGAUGAAGAAAAAAGAAUACAAUUUUAUUUAAUGGAUACUUUAUGAAGUAGUAAUUCCUGAGAGGUGUGCUGGCUGAAAACAUAAUAGGUUCUGGAAGAGCCAGGUAAAUGCCUGGAUUUAGACAUGCAGGGGUUAAUCAAAAUAAUUUAGGAGCGUUUUCAGCUGGUCAGCCUCAUAUGGGAUCUUCGAACCCGUGGCGAGAAGAAAACCGGUGUUUAGGAAGCACCAGGCACAGUGCUCGGAAGGGAGAGGCUGGCCGGCCAGUGUGCAGCUCAGCUGCUUCGAGGACGGAACCUGCAGCCUGGCUGUGUCCCAGCAGACCCAGGACCAAGACUGCUUCUGCCACUGACUGUCUCUGCGACCUGGGAAAAGUCAUCCCCUCCCUUAACUGGGCCUCAGUGUCCUUAUCACUAUGUUGGAGUUAGACGGGAUGGUCUCGGAGGUCUUUCCAGCCUCGAGGAAUGAAGGAUUGGGUUGAAAUCACAGCAGAGGAUGUUAUGUGUGGGCUGCUGAGCAGUCAGCCUUAGUGUCUCCCAAAGCUGACAUGAAGGCACGGGCUGAAAUGAUUAAUACAGUCAAGUGAGUCAUCGCAGGAGGAGUUUAAGGAAGGAUUUCCUGACUAUAAGAGAUGUGGCUUUCUAGAAUAUCUUGCCAGCAGAGACAGUAGGGUCUCCAUCUCUGGACAUCCAUGACUGGAAAGGGAGACUACCCCACCUGGGCUGGUUUAACAGCAGAGCCGUAACCAUGCGGGGCUAACAUUUGUUGAGUGCUUACUAUGUUCUCAGUGUUCGCCUUGGAUUAUUUCAUUUAGUCUUUGUGAUGGUCCAGUGGGCCUGGGUGCUAUUAUUACCCACAUUUUACAGUUGUGGAAACGAAGGCACAUAGAGGUUUGGUAACUUGUCUAAGGUCACACAGGUGGUAAGAGGGAGCCAGGAUUUGAACCCAGGCGGUGUGGCAUGAGCCCAUGCUCUUCAGUGUGGUUCUAUCCAUCUGGAGGCGUAGAGGUUUAUGGUAGCUCAUGCUUUCAAGUGGAGCUUUUUCUGGAAGCAUGGGGAUUAUUUACAGUCUCUUGAACUGCUAGCUUCAGGAUGUUUUAAGGCUAGGCCUGAGCGAGGAGGAGGCAGGGGAGACCUGGCAGGUAUUGAAGUACCUGGGAAGAAAGGCAAUGGGGAUGGUGGUCCUGCUCCAAGAUGAUAAGUGGAGGCUGAGCGUCACUGGUACUGGG